rnacentral:rRNA from 1 species
AAACAUGGCUCUUUGAAAUAUUUUAUAUAAAGAGUCGAGCCUGCCCAGUGAUAAAGUUUAAACGGCCGCGGUACUCUGACCGUGCGAAGGUAGCAUAAUCAUUUGCCUUAUAAUUAAGGGCUUGUAUGAAUGGUUUGACAAAAGCAUAACUGUCUCCUAAAAAUUUUAUAGAAUUUGGUUUUUAGGUGAAGAAACCUAAAUGUAAUUGAAAGACAAGAAGACCCUAUCGAGCUUUAGAAUAAUAAAUUAAAGAAUAUAAUUAAAAUAAUUAACUUUGAUUUAAAACUUUGGUUGGGGCGACUAAGGAACACAUAAAGCUUCCUUAUUAAAAAUAACGCCGAUAAGCUAUGAUCCAAAAAUUUUGAUUAAAAAAAUUAGUUACCGUAGGGAUAACAGCAUAAUCUUUUUUAAGAGCUCUUAUCGAAAAAAAGGUUUGUGACCUCGAUGUUGGACUAGGAUAUCCUAAUAGAUGUAGAAGUCUUUAAGGGUUGGUCUGUUCGACCACUAAUAUCCUACGUGAU